GACGAACGCUGGCGGCGUGCUUAACACAUGUAAGUCGAACGGAAAGGCCCUGCUUUUGUGGGGUGCUCAAGUGGCGAACGGGUGAGUAACACGUGAGUAACCUGCCCUUGACUUUGGGAUAACUUCAGGAAACUGGGGCUAAUACCGGAUAGGAGCUCCUGCUGCAUGGUGGGGGUUGGAAAGUUUCGGCGGUUGGGGAUGGACUCGCGGCUUAUCAGCUUGUUGGUGGGGUAGUGGCUUACCAAGGCUUUGACGGGUAGCCGGCCUGAGAGGGUGACCGGCCACAUUGGGACUGAGAUACGGCCCAGACUCCUACGGGAGGCAGCAGUGGGGAAUAUUGCACAAUGGGCGGAAGCCUGAUGCAGCAACGCCGCGUGCGGGAUGACGGCCUUCGGGUUGUAAACCGCUUUCGCCUGUGACGAAGCGUGAGUGACGGUAAUGGGUAAAGAAGCACCGGCUAACUACGUG
rnacentral:rRNA from 1 species